rnacentral:ncRNA from 1 species
UCUGCCACUGGGUCGCCUGUUGCAGA